GUGAAUCAUCGAAUUUUUGAACGCAAAUUGCACUCUCCGCGGAUAGUAUGCCUGUUUGAGUGUCAGCCUAUAAAAAUCGACAUCGUUGCUGUUUCGCGGUGGCGUUCGUCGGUGAUUGGGUCAUCUUGAAUCCUUUUGCUUUAAGCGACUUAAAUUUUGCUUUUGCUUCAAUGAAGUUUCCUAAGCUUUUUUGCUUUGCCA
rnacentral:misc_RNA from 1 species